rnacentral:tRNA from 1 species
UGUGGCUCAGUGGCAGAGCACUUGCCUCACAUGUAUGAGGCCCUGGGUUUAAUCCUCAGCA